rnacentral:lncRNA from 1 species
UUGGAAUCUUGUUUUUUUUUUUUUUUUAUGAGAUAGAUAGUAUGCUACCUGUUUCGUUUCUUUCAUUUAUAAAUAAAUUUAACUGAAUAUGUGAAUCAACUAGGAUUCGAACUCGGGACCUCAAGUACCAACCAUCAAGCUUUUUGCCACUUGUGUUAGGGGCGGUCGGUUGGUUGGAAUUUUAUAUGCAUUUCGCAAGCCGGGAAAAGAAACCCUUUGAAAACAGUACUGUGUCUACUUCAGUAUUAAAAAAAAGGGUUAAUUGCAUACAGGUUCCUACAAAUAUGAUGAAUUUUAGAUAUAUCUCUAUAAGUUCAAUUUUCAAAUGUUAUCCCUGUAAAAAUUCUAAUAUUUUCAGAUAUAUUCCUUUAGUUAGAUCACAGGAUACCACAAGAUACUAAAUUGACACACUUUAAAUCACAUGGUACCAAAGUAAGAAAGUGCGAAACUAUAGGGAUAGUAUUUGAAAUUUUUCUAAAACAAAAGAAAAAAAAGAGAGAAGGAUUCAACAAAUUGCAUUUUUAACUGCGCUAAGAAUAUGAGAUAGGUGUGGAGGUCGACAGAGAUUUUUACCAUUAUUUUAUAGCAUCGAAGGAGUUUUCAGGUGUUAAUAGAAUUUUUCAAACUCUGCAAUUCUUUAUGGAUCUUACUGUAGAAUGUAGUGAUUUUCAAUUAAAAUCUUUUAAAUUGAUACAUUCAUCAAGGAAAAGCUAUACAAACGUUUUACUAGAAACGACUACCACUGAAAAUAGAAACAAAAGCGAGGAGGAGGAGCGAUCACAAAGGCAAUUCCAAAGGCUUGCUAAACCCUAGAGAGAGAUUGUGCUUGAGGCUCUGAAGCCAUCAAUUUGGGUGAUGAAGGAGAAGUUACUUUGUUUGUGAAAAGAGGCUCAGGAGAUUGCUGCUUUUCGCAACUUCAGAAGAAAAGCACAAAUAAAGCAAGUAUGAGCCCCUUGGAGGAUCAUCCUAAUGUUUUUCACAUCACAUUUUUGCCCCACUUCUAAGUCCUAACAUUUCAACAGCUGUUACCACUGGUACCACAACAAAAAAUGGUGGUCACAUUUGCUUAACUAGUGUAACUAGUGUUGUAUUCUUCCUUUUUAUCUACUCUCAAUACGUUUUGGUUUGUUUAAUCUUAUUUUCAAGUUAGUUGAUUACAACUCAUUUUGUUUAGUUUUCUUUUUCAACUAAAAAGUAACUUAGUCCAAGUUUUUGAACUCUUGACAAUAGUUGGAACUGUAUAUUUUGUAAUUGAAAACAGCUCAACAGUAAAAUUUUCAAGAUACAGGAAAGCAACAAAGAUUGAUCCUCUGAAAGAAGAACAUAGAUAAUUUAUUGAAACAACNUGUGAACAGAAGAAAGAAAGAAAGAAAAAAAGAAAGAAAGAAAGGAAAUGGAAAAGGCGCUGAAAAAGUGAAACUGAAUCCUCACCGAUCGUUCUCUUUUUCCUCGUUCCGCCCACCACCGCACACGCUCUCACGUGCGCUGCACGUGCACCAUUUGCUGUAUUGGAAUCUUGUUUUUUUUUUUUUUUUUUUUUUUUAUGAGAUAGAUAGUAUGGUAUCCGUUUCGUUUAUUUUAUUUAUAAAUAAAUUUAGUUGAAUAUGUGAAUCAACUAAGAUUCGAACUCGGGACUUCGAGUACCAACCAUCAAGCUUUUUCCCACUUGUGCUAGGGACGGUCGGUUGGUUGGAAUUUUAUAUGCAUUUCGCAAGUUGGGGAAACAAGCCCUUUGAAAACAGUACUGUGUCUACUUCAGUAUUAAAAAAAAGGGUUAAUUGCAUACAGGUUCCUACAAAUAUGAUGAAUUUUAGAUAUAUCUCUACAAGUUUAAUUUUCAAAUGUUAUCCCUGCAAAAAUCCUAAUAUUUUCAGAUAUAUUUCUCUAAUUAGAUCACAGGAUACCACAAGAUACUAAAUUAACACACUUUAAAUCACAUGGUACCAAAGUAAGAAAGUGCGAAAUUAUAGGGGUGGUAUUUGAAAUUUUUCUAAAACAAAAGAAAAAAAAGAGAGAAGGAUU